rnacentral:misc_RNA from 1 species
AUAUAAUGGAGUAUGAUACAAAAUAGAGUUGUAACUUCCUCAGCUUUGCAUAAAUGUCAACCACUUCUUAAAGCUGAAUAACUGAAAAGUUAUUAUUGUCAAGAAGAAUAUGCUUUGUGAAUUGACGAGCAAUAUUUCUAAAGAGCAACAAAAAUGCGUGAAGUGGAUCAGUACUUACUCCCACGGAACAUCACCAACAAG